AGAGUUUGAUCUGGCUCAGGACGAGCGCUGGCGGCGUGCUUAACACAUGCAAGUCGAACGAGGUCCACUGCGUAGCAAUACAAGGGAAGACCUAGUGGCGAACGGGUGCGUAACACGUGAGGAACUUGUCCCGGUCUCUGGGAUAACAGUUGGAAACGACUGCUAAUACCGGAUGACGUCGGAAUCUCGCAUGGGAUACUGACGAAAGGGUUACUGGAUCGGGAGAGCCUCGCGGCCUAUCAGCUUGUUGGUGAGGUAACGGCUCACCAAGGCAUCGACGGGUAGCUGGUCUGAGAGGAUGAUCAGCCACACUGGGACUGAGACACGGCCCAGACUCCUACGGGAGGCAGCAGUGGGGAAUCUUGCGCAAUGGGCGAAAGCCUGACGCAGCAACGCCGCGUGCGGGAAGAAGGCCCUCGGGUUGUAAACCGCUUUCAGUAGGAACGAAAAUGACGGUACCUGCAGAAGAAGGUGCGGCCAACUACGUG
rnacentral:rRNA from 1 species